rnacentral:rRNA from 1 species
ACGAAGUAGAACUGUAGAUUAAGUAUUUAUAUUUAUGAUAUAGGAAAGCUUAGUGGCGAACGGGUGAGUAAUGCUUAGGAACAUACCUUCCGAAGAGGGAUAAAAUACCUCAUACGCUCCUAACGGAGGAAAGGCUACUUUGGUAGUCGUCGGUAGAUUGGCCUAAGUCGGGCAAUUUAUGUAGUUGGUAGGGUAAUGGCCUACCAAGCUUUGGCCUGUAGCUAGUCUGAGAGGACGAAUAGCCACACUGAAACUGAGACACGGUUCAGACUCAAUUUGGAGGCAGCAGUGAAGAAUAUUGGACAAUGAGGGAAACCUUGAUCCAGAGAUGCCACGUGGGUGACAAGGCCGUUUAGGUUGUAAAGCCCUGUCAGUAUGUAAUAAUCAAUGAACUAAAAUACAGAGGAAGCACCGGCUAAUUCUGUGCCAGCAGCCGCGGUAAGACAGAAGGUGCGAGCGUUACUCGGAAUUAUUGGGCGUAAAGCGCGUGUAGGUGGCUAUGUAUGUUUCUAGUGAAAUCUUGAGGCUCAACCUCAAAACUGCUAGGAAAACUGCAUAGCUAGAGUCCGUUAGAGGUAAAUGGAAUUUCUAGUGUAGGGGUAAAAUCCAUGUAUAUUAGAAGGAAUAUCAAAAGCGAAGGCAGUUUACUGGGACGGUACUGACACUAAGACGCGAAAGCGUGGGUAGCAAACAGGAUUAGAUACCCUGGUAGUCCACGCCGUAAACGAUGAGAGCUAGAUGUUGGACUUUUUGUUCAGUGUCGUAAGCUAACGCGUUAAGCUCCCCGCCUGGGUAGUAUAGCCGCAAGGCCGAAACCCAAAGGAAUUGACGGGGACCCGCACAAGCGGUGGAACAUGUGGUUUAAUUCGAAGGUACACGAAAAACCUUACCAGUCUUUGUAUGUUUGUAAAUUUAUUUACAUUCACAGGUACUGCAUGGCCGUCGUCAGCUCGUGUCGUGAGAUGUUGGGUUAAUUCCCGCAACGAGCGCAACCCUUAUUUCUAGUUGCUAACAGGUAAAGCUGAGUUCUUUAGAAAAACAGAUGGUGACAAACCAUAGGAAGGAGAGGAUGAGGUCAGGUAUCAUGGUCCUUAUGGACUGGGCUAGACAUGUGUUACAAUGGCAGUUACAGCGAGGAGCAAUUUGGUGACAAUGAGCAAAUCUUUAAAGACUGUCUUAGUUCGGAUCUAUCUCUGCAACUCGGGAUAGUGAAGUUGGAAUCGCUAGUAAUCGUGGAUCAGCAUGCCACGGUGAAUACGUUCUCGGGUCCUGUACACACCGCCCGUCAAGCCACUGGAGUUGGAUCAAUCGGAAGCUAAAAUACCUAACC